UACGUAGGGGGCGAGCGUUGUCCGGAUUCAUUGGGCGUAAAGCGCUUUUAGGCGGUUCGGUAAGUCGGGUGUGAAACCUCCAGGCUCAACCUGGAGACGCCACUCGAUACUGCUGUGACUAGAGUUCGGUAGGGGAUCACGGAAUUCCUGGUGUAGCGGUGAAAUGCGCAGAUAUCAGGAGGAACACCGGUGGCGAAGGCGGUGAUCUGGGCCGACACUGACGCUGUAGAGCGAAAGCGUGGGGAGCGAACAGG
rnacentral:rRNA from 1 species